AUGACCUUUAAUUACAGUCCCGUGAGGCUGAAAAGGAAUCGGUAAAUACUACAUUUGUGUAGGUAUAUCCAAAACCCUUUUCUUCUGACGGAGAAAAGGGUUUUUUUACU
rnacentral:sRNA from 1 species